UCAGCGCAGGUACUGGAAUACCUCAGACUGGGGUAAAGAAGACAUGUGUGUUACACAGGAACGGAGCUGCAGCUCACAAGUAGCAGGACAUUAGCUAGAAGAAGAAGAGACAUUUGUGUCAAUCACCAGUGAGUCCCGGGCACCUGCAGGCUGCGUGGAAUAAAGUAGAUAUUCAGCAAAUAUUUGUUGGAAGAGUGAAUCAGUGAAUGAGAAAGAGGAAACUGUUUAACAAGUGAAUAAACUAAUGGAAUUAGAAUUUGAUAAAUCCCUACACUUUACGAAGCUCUCCAGGAACAGCCAAGUUGAGAGCAGAAGUGAGUGGGAAGAGGCAUUUUCAUGUUGGGGUGAUGCUCUACAUGUUUCUUACAUUGCUGUGGCACUCCAUAAGACAAGGGCGCAACUGUAGCUGCAGGAGUUACAUUCCCGAAGGCCGGAAGACAGCAGUGCUUGGUGCACUGGCGGAUGAGCAAGGAAGGAACUGAAAUCAGGAUCUCAAAGAGACACUGCCGGAGGAAUGGAUGAAGAAGCAUGAGAAUCAUCACUGUUAGCAAACAACAACGGUGCCAACAAUAAUAAUAAAUGAGACUAGUGGGGCUGCCAAAAAGGGCAGAAGAUUCAUGAGACUGGGAUGCCAUGGGACUUACAGCAUGAUGUCAACAGACACAGAAGAUGAACUUUAUUUAUGAUGGAAAAAUCAAAAGGGAUGGUUGUAGAAAGCAGGAAUUAUGACUGAUGUCCCCAGAAGUGCCCCAUGGGUACACAGGGGUUGGAUGAAGCCCAGCAAGUGCAGUG
rnacentral:lncRNA from 1 species